AUAUAGUACGCAGGGCUCUUAUUAACUUACGGCUACUGUUUGUUCGAAUGUACGGAAAAGGUUCCAAUUUUCGUGUGGCGGUCUCGCUACCUUUACCGACACCACCGACACCAGCGACGAACAGCAGCGACAAGCGGCGAGAGAGAAAACAGCAGCUCAAGCCGCGAGAGAUUUUCACCACGAGGCUUCAAAAAGAAGAUUCUCGAACCUCACUACUUCGGUAGCGCGUGAUUGUUCCCUCACACAACGUGUCGAUAAAACUUUCAUCGAUAUUUUUUAUAAAAUAUUAACGUUGGCUUUAAAUAAAAACAACAAUAUUAAUCUUUCUUGUGGUGUCAGGAGUGAUUUUACCUCAAAAGGAUCCCCGGCCCCAACCUCCGUUAACUUGGCCCCCCCAUUUAAUUAUUUUAAACUUUCGUUAAUGCAAAUCGUUUGAGAGUCGUUAGAGAGAGUAUGAGAGAAAAGAAAAAUUGUUUGAGAGUAAUUAUUUUUUUGGCAAAAAUGAUUUUAUUUUUUGGCGUGAAGCUGGCCCCCAUUUAUUUUAUCUCCUGGAAAAAUGGACUUAGACGUUUCAUUUUUUUUUUAAUCGUUUGAGAAUCGUUUGAGAGAGAUUGAGAGUGAAAGAAAAUCGUUCGAGAGUUGAUAUUUUAAUUGAUAUUAAAUGAUUUAUAAUUAGGUGAUUUCACCUAGAGUCCCUAGAACUGAGGCACUUCCGGUGUGCGCAGCGGGUAUGCGCAGUGCACUUGCGCAAAGCACAUGCUGUACAUGCAUGUGGGAUCAGCUGAUCAGCAGCUACAGCAGUCGACCUACAUUUUAUACUAAUAUAUCUUAACGUUUUCCAAGCAAGCUAUCGAUCAGAUAAAAUGAACUGCCGGACUGAACGAUCAGUACGAAAGAUUAAAAGUUUUAUCCCUUUUCACCAGCCAAGAUGCUAUGAGGAUUGAUUAAAAUCAGAUAUAAGGAACGAAAACGUAGGCGAAAAAUACUGGAGCAAAAUGCAGGAUUACGAGCCAGCAUGCCCGCGUUUCGCUCAUCAGCUGAUCUACGACUACGUGAGAAAAAUUUACUAUUUGUUCGGAGGGACAGCAUCGAGGCUCUCUAGUAUCUUCAAAAUGAAGUUUCCGAUAUCAUCGAUCACGAUGACGACGAGGAGCAAAUCAAAGAGUUUCAACUACUCGCAUCCGUCAUAUUCCGGGAACAGGAGUCAGCCCGAAACAUCGAUUUAUCGUCGUCUUCGAGCACCGAGGAUUCCGAAACAUUUGAAAAAACGCAAGAAAACUUCACGUCCGUCGAGCCGAAUAUUGUAUGAUAAGUUGACGGAAUUUUUUUCCGAAUCGCUCACGCAGCCUCGAGACAAUUUAAUUGCUUUAUUGCCAUUAUGAUGAACGAGUGAAACCGGGUAGUCGACGACUCAUUGUUGAUUGACAAUGAUACUCCCAAUCGAAUUCGGAGUAGAGGAAAUUAGUGAGCGGUUCAAAAGAAGCAGUCACUGCGUGGCUCAAGAAUGUCCCACAUUGUUGCGUAAAGGUCUUCUGGAGUUGUUCCCUGGCUGUGUCGAAGUGGCCUCACCGCAGUUUACCAUUAUAACUCUAAGUCAAAAAUUAAGUGAUCAAAGUCACCCGUGGAGCAGGGAAAUGGAAACUGAGAAGCUGGCUAUAUUCCUGUGUUUUGCACCGUUCCAAAAGUUAUAGCAACGCAACUGGGCGAGGUUCGUUCGGGGCUGGUUUUAACAGCGGCUGUUACAUCCGAUCAAGAAACUGGAGAACGCAGGUUGGAAACUGGUGCUAUGGUUUUUAUGAUUGCUGUAACUGCCAACCAUUGAAUAACGAAGAUGCACAAUCCGAGGUUCAGCCUCCACCCUUCUACAAGGACGUUUCAUCGUAAAUCAAGCUGUUCUCCCCACGAUCCAAAUCUGGAUAACACGAGCUGGCGUCAAUCCAAAUUGGGAACUUAUAGCACCAAAAGGAUUUAGAUUUUAUAUGCCAAUAAGGAGUGCAGGUCGUGGAUGGUUAAAUGCAACCACAACAGCA